rnacentral:lncRNA from 12 species
AUGAGAGGCUGGACGGGCUUCGUGAAGUUAACCAGCGCCUUCUACUCUGAUCACACAAAUAACGUUGCUUGUGAGAGACCCAAGCUGCAGGGGCGCAGAGUACCGGCUGAAACCUCCCUGGCCUUUGCUCUCGUGCCCUCUCCCGCGCCAGCAGCGCAGGUUUUGUGGUUUGGGAUCUUCCUUUUGUGUCACCUGGCCUGUGUGCUGGUGAGGAGCCAGAGCCUUUCGCCACCUCUCAGAAGCCCCCAGAGCCCCAGGAACCCUGAUUCAGGUGCUGCUGACCUUAGAGCAGGAGAGGCCCCGCUGACAUCGGGGCUGCAGGCUGCCUCAGUGGGCCUUGUCCCUACGCCUCACCAGACAAUAUGGAGAGGCCAGCAAGGUCACUUACCCAGUGGGUGCUUCCGACAGGAGCAAGAAACCUGCAGGGGGACCCAGACAAGCGCUUGCGAGGAAGGUGCAUGCAGAGGAAGGCAUGCCAAGUGCCCCGUGGGAGCCGGGAGGUCACACCCUGUGGAAAGGAGGGGGCGCCCAGACAGGACUCUGAUCUUGUUCCUGGAUCCCUCCGAGGGCCCAGAGUUCCCAACAGGCCACCUUCUCCGCACAGAGCCAAGAGCUUGCAGGGGUGCAGGCCAGGGUCCGGGUGACCUGAGAAGCAGCAAGGAAAGGUGGGAAGGGUUUGCAAAGGGAGACAAGCCCCCAGAAGGUGUGAAGCCUUCUGCUGCUGGCAUUGGGUUCCCCAUCUCCCCCGGCGUCAACACCACCAUGGGACAGUCCCUCCAAGGCGGGAUUCCUUUGUGGGGUUUCAUUUUAAAGGUUCUCCGUUGCUUUAAAAUGACCCCUCAGCUGGUCUUCCUGAGGACAGAGCCUUGGGCCAGUUUUCUCAUUAGCAAAAAGGGCACUUCUGACAGCAGGGUGUUCGGCUCAGAAGUGACAGCCCUGUCUAGAGAAGCCGGGGUCAGCCGCAUGCCCCUCACUGCACCGGGAGCCUGGCGGGUCCCCCGGACUCCGGGGCCUGGGCCGCCUGCCCUUACUGCUGCUGUCCUGGGAGCUGGCACGGCUCGGUCCCCUGGGGACACUGGCGGUGUGUGGCCACCCGAGCUGGUGUUUGCUCAGUGCCGUUCAUCAGCACUCAGCGGGUGCGUCCCUGGCACCGCGGUGUGCAGUUCACAACCUGCUGGUGACACGAACGCAGGAACCGGGACGAGGUCGGCCCUCGGAGUCCUCGCGCCACAGCUCAGCUGCAGACACAGGAUGGGGUCGAGGCAAAACCGGGUGACCCCAAGAAGCCAGGCAGAUCUCUUCCAAGUGUUUCAUUCCCGCCUGUCACGUCCUCCCUGA